GGGUAGCAAUAUUCUGUAGUCGGAGCGGCGCAAGGGUGCGUAACACGUGGGUAAUCUGCCAUGAAGUUUGGAAUAACUUGCUGAAAGGCGAGCUAAUGCCGGAUGUGACAAUUGGAUGGCAUCAUUUGAUUGUCAAAGCUGGGGACCGUAAGGCCUGGCGCUUCAUGAUGAGCCCGCGGCCUAUCAGCUAGUUGGUGAGGUAACGGCUCACCAAGGCUAAGACGGGUAGCUGGUCUGAGAGGACGACCAGCCACACUGGAACUGAGACACGGUCCAGACACCUACGGGUGGCAGCAGUCGAGAAUUUUUCACAAUGGGCGCAAGCCUGAUGGAGCGACGCCGCGUGGGGGAUGAAUGGCUUCGGCCCGUAAACCCCUGUCAUUUGCGAACAAAUUGGUUCAAUUAACACCUGAACCAUUGAUAGUAGCGAAAGAGGAAGGGACGGCUAACUCUGUGCCAGCAGCCGCGGUAAUACAGAGGUCCCAAGCGUUGUUCGGAUUCACUGGGCGUAAAGGGUGCGUAGGUGGUGAGGUAAGUCGGAUGUGAAAGCUCGGAGCUCAACUCCGAAAUGGCAUUGGAAACUACCUUGCUCGAGGGUUGGAGGGGGGACUGGAAUGCUUGGUGUAGCAGUGAAAUGCGUAGAUAUCAAGCGGAACACCAGUGGCGAAGGCGAGUCCCUGGACAACUCCUGACACUGAGGCACGAAAGCUAGGGGAGCAAACAGGAUUAGAUACCCUGGUAGUCCUAGCCGUAAACGGUGCACGUUUGCUGUAAAAGGAAUCGA
rnacentral:rRNA from 1 species